GGGCGCGCCACGAGCGUGCAUCCCGCGCCUGCGCCCCGGGUGGGGUGAGGGCGGCGGGUGCGUCCCCGGGCCGCGCCGGGGGCCCCCGAGGAGCCUCUGCAAGGGAUAAACGUGUCACCCGACAGAGGAAGGGACCGAGCGGUGACCCGGAGCUGUGUCCGUGAGUGCAGAGGAGACACCGAAGCUGCCUUGCCUGUGCCUACCCACCCCAGGAGAUCUGGGCCCCCCACACGCAUUUUGGCCCUUGGGAGCAGGACUAGGAGAGACCCUCUGCCCAGAGAGAGGCACUAGGCAUGGAUUGAGUCCCUGAGGGAAGAGGCCAGGCUCCCAGCUCACAGAAAGACAACUCACCUCCCUGCUGCUGCGAGCAUCUUGUUGGGGACAGCCCUGCCUGUGCCUGCCUUGGAGUACAGAUCCAGCUGACAGACCCCCCCAGCUUGCUACAGCUCCGGCCACAAGGUGUUCCUGCUCAUAUUCACUCCCCUUACAGCUGCAGGUAAUUUCAGUUCUAGCUACUGGACACUGCAGCUUGAGGUAAUUUCAGGACCAACUUUGGCUAAUGAGGUGCUCCUGCUGAUGGACACUCCAGCUCGGAGAUGCCCCCGCUCUGGUUUACUAAAUCCUCCUUGUUACAAGCCAAGUAAAGCUCCAGCUAAUUACAGCAAUCUGGGCGUUUGGCAGGGUCAUAAAUCAAUCACUGUCAUAACAUGUAUAUGAAUAUGACCUGUCGUAUGUGUACAUUGUCUAAAUAUGGUCUAAUGAGUUAAUAACUAUUGAGUGGUUGUACAACCCUUGAAUAAAGAGCUGGACACCCAA